rnacentral:lncRNA from 1 species
GGUCUUUUCCCUCCAACUGUCAUGGAGAUCGCACGGAACCUGUGUCGUCCCGUUAAUUUCAGAUUAUUCGGAUUUCCCUGCAUUGGAAAAAUCCAGCACGAGUAUAUAUACCUAACCUUAUACUGUCAAUUGUUUUAUCUUCUUUAGAUUUGCGAGGAAAUUCUCGAGCCGAAAGCAAAAUAAAAACAUGGAGCAAUACAUUCGACACUUCAAGGAGUACAGACAGAGGAGAUCUCUCCAUUCCCCUUACGUCUUUCAACGACGACAACGAGAAACAUUGCAAGUGAAAAUAACAGAUAAAACAUGGAACUAUUGGAUAUUGUUAUAUGAGAAAUAUUAUUUGGAUCAAUGUAAUUGUAAUAUGGCAACCAAAGGGACACAUAAUCAAAUUUGAAGGACUGCAAUUGAGUAUUCUGAGGACUAUAAUUAACACUAUGCACUUGGGAAAUUUGGUAUUUAUAUCUAAGUACUCUACAUGAAGGAUUCUGAACUUUGGAGACCUAUAAAUGAUAGAUUCAGGACCAUUCAGCUCUUCUACAGUUACACCUCAUACUAUUGGAAUAGACUGGACAAAUAUAAAAUUUCCAUCAUGCCUGAGCACUUUGAAAAAUUUCCUGAUAAUAGAAGGAUAAUUAUGAGACGUCCAAUGGAUUACCAAUACACAAUGGCAGCUUAAAAAUGACGUAUUAUAUUUUUCAAUGUACUUUAUUUAUCAAUUACAUAUUAAUAUAUGUUAAUAAUCAGAUG